CAGCGGAUUAGAGCAGCUGACUACGGAUCAGCAGGUCGCAGGUUCGAAUCCUGUCUGGCGCA
rnacentral:tRNA from 1 species